UUUCCAAAAACAGACAGCUUGUAUUAUAUCAUAAUAAUUCAUACUAUUUUUCUCAUUUAAAAAGCAUAUUAAGACCAUAUCAAAUUUCUGAAUAUUGAUUUUAUUUUUGUUCCCACUAAUAUAUAGCUAAUAAUUAUUCAUGUAUUCUUACACCUCAACACUUGUUCCUGUUUUGUGUCACAAGUUUACUAGAGGAACAGUUUCCAACCGCACGCCGCAGACCCAUCUAUUUCCCCACUUCCUCGUCACCCUCUUGUCUGACUCUCUUCGCGAAUUUACUUCGAUUCAAAAUAGAUAAGUUUGUCAAAAAACUUUAAGCUAAUCGAUACAAUCAAAUGUUGAUACAAAGUUUAAAAUAGUUCAUGAUGGAUGUCCAACCUCGGAUGUUUCUGGGUGCCGAUGGUCGCGUUGAUCGUCGCGGCAUCAGGUGACAUAUAAGUUAAAGGGAGCUUUGAAGUUCGUUUUAAACCGGAGCCUGUACUAUCAUCUGACAGCACUAUUACAUGGAAGUUCAAGAGCAGUGACGCUGUUCCCAAACCACAGUUAAGAAUAGAGGUCUCCAAUAAAUCUGAUGUCGUCUAUUUAAUGUGCGAGUUUGACGCAAUUAUCAACUGGACUUGUUCUAAUGAAGAAAACCCAGUAGUUUCUCUGCUAGAAGAGUCAAGAAAAGGACGGUUCUUAACAUUCACAAGAUCCGGGAACCCAGACACCUGCUGCUCCUGUAUACUCAAGAACAUCGUGAGCGAGGAAACCAGUGAUCCACUUUGUAGGAAAGAUCUGUUUCAUGGAAAGCCACAAUUUGACUUCUGCACUUCUUAAUAAGAAAGAAAAUAAUUAAAAGCAGGAUCAAGUUUAUGUUUAUAAUAUUAUUUUUCUGCGGUUAUACAUUAUAAAAAUAGCCAUCUAUGGGUGCGAACAAGCAGAUCGGAUCUUCAGACAAGCAGGACACAGCGCGUUGACACUUGUGGUGGCAAGUGUCAUAAGGUGGCAUCAUGGCACCGAUGGCAUGUAAACUACCAAGCUGUUAUUAAAACGAUUAAUGAUCUGUUUAUCAAACUACACAAGGUUUGGUACUUGACCACUUCAGUAAUCCACCUCUUGAUCAGGACACGCUGAUCGGAUAACAUUCCGUUUAGAAGGGCGUUUACACUUUGUAAUGUGUAUGGGGACAACAUCCAGAUACAUGAUGCAUGUUAAUCCCAAAUGUAAACACACCCAAAUAGUUUGAAAUGUUUUGGAUUUUUACCCACUUAAAUUGUCGUUUAGUUUGUGCAUACUCCCAGUUUUCGGGCUUAAGAAGGUGGAUUGGUUUUGAGCGGGUUUCGUCGCCAUGGUAACACGGCUAAACUGCUCCGGAACAGGGUUCGCAAAGCAAAACUGGACCAAUCAGCUCUGAGAAAAGUGACGUGUAUCUGACGCAGUGAAGCCACUCCCCAUGUGUCUUUAAUUCCAAAUUAAGAACAGU